CUGGUGGGUCGCGGCACGGUGGUGACUGAGCUGCGAGCCUGGCGGGCGUGCGCCGAGCCCUGGCCUGCCCUCCGCGUGUCCCCCGGGCUCUGCACCCCUGAUGCUGCGUGGGUGCUGAGCCCGCCCCGGCCGAGACAAUGGUGAAGUAUUUCCUGGGCCAGAGCGUGCUACGGAGUUCCUGGGACCAAGUGUUCGCUGCCUUCUGGCAGCGGUACCCGAAUCCCUAUAGCAAACAUGUAUUGACGGGAGACAUAGUGCACCGGGAGGUGACCCCUGACCAGAAGCGCCUGUCCCGGAGACUCCUGACCAAGACCAACAGGAUGCCCCGCUGGGCCGAGCGACUGUUUCCUGCCAAUGUUGCUCACUCGGUGUACAUCCUGGAAGACUCUAUUGUGGACCCUCAGAACCAGACCAUGACCACCUUCACCUGGAACAUCAACCACAGCCGGCGGAUGGUGGUGGAGGAACGAUGUGUUUACUGUGUGAACUCUGAUAACAGCGGCUGGACCGAAAUCCGCCAGGAAGCCUGGGUCUCUUCUAGUUUAUUUGGUGUCUCCAGAGCCGUCCAGGAAUUUGGUCUCGCCCGGUUCAAAAGCAAUGUGACCAAGACGAUGAAGGGUUUUGAAUACAUCUUGGCCAAGCUGCAAGGUGAUGCCGCUUCCAAAACCCUUGUUGAGACAGCCAAGGAAGCCAAGAAGGCAAAGGAGACGGCACUGGCAGCUACAGAGAAGGCCAAGGACCUUGCCAGCAAGGCAGCCACUAAGAAGCAGCAGCAGCAGCGGCAGUUUGUGUAGCAAGCCCAGGUCCUGGUGUGGCAGCACGCCAGACUCCCCAGCUCUGAUCCCCCGCCUUCCCCCUGUAGUUUAUUAUUAAACGUCAACUUCCAGCCC